UCGGAUUAGCUAGUUGGUGNGGUAAUGGCCUACCAAGGCGANGAUCCGUAGCUGGUUUGAGAGGAUGAUCAGCCACACUGGGACUGAGANANGGCCCAGACUCCUACGGGAGGCAGCAGUGGGGNAUAUUGGACAAUGGGCGCAAGCCNGAUCCAGUCAUGCCGCGUGUGUGAAGAAGGCCCUAGGGUUGUAAAGCACUUUCAGCGAGGAGGAAAGGUGAUUGUUUAAUACGCAAUUGCUGUGACGUUACUCGCAGAA
rnacentral:rRNA from 1 species